AUGUGAUUUGGUCUUGAUUUGGAAAAUGGAGUCCUACCAUAUCUUUAUUCAUUUCCCAACUAGAAUUAUGUGAUUCUAGGAUAGAUACAGAACAACAUCCCAUUUCAUAUCCACUAUGCCACCUCCUUCUCAAGCCGUUCCUCUUCCAAAUUUUCAGCCACUUUAACAUUAAAAACUUUUCUACCUAAACUUACACCUUCAGAACUAUAUAAUUUUAUCUUUUUCUAAAGUCAGUAUAAAUUAUUUUUAACUCAUAAUGGUAUUUGUUCAGAACAGUUGGAUUGAAUGCUUACUGUGUGUAAUAUGCAUAAUGGAACCUUAAGUACAAUACCGAUACUGGGAAAGAUAAAGAAUUCAAAUAGUAAUUUUUGUCAGAGAAAAUUUGGGAAAUUAUUUGUGGAGCUUAGUUACAAUUUUCCAGGGGAUAUGCCUUUAUUUUCUCUGUGUUCCAGGUCUUUCCUGAAAUUUAGAAGCCCCUUUGUUCCCCUUCCUUUCUGAUGCUAUCAGUGGUGAUGAUCACCUUUGAGGAAGAAAAGCCCACUUCCACUGACCAUGGAGAAUACACAGCAUCUCUGCUUGAUUGUGACAAGGCAAGUCCCAGGCAAUGGAUAAAAUCAAAUCUGAAACCGUUGAUUCAUGUUGGUGAAAGCUACCGAAAGAAUGUGAGGAUGGUUUUAAAGAUUUCCUGGUAAUUGAUAAAGCAUGUUCAGGUGGCCAGGCAAGUUUGGAGACCUUCUUUGACAUUUACAAGGGUUAUUAAAGGUUGUUGAGAAGCUACAUUUAGGAGUUAGAGGAACUGACAAAAUCCUUUUCACAGAAUGACAUGGUGAGAACAAGUUGAAAUUUUUGUAAAUUUAUUAAGUGUUCAAAGGAGUGAAACACCUGAUUAAAUUUCUGAUGCUC